rnacentral:rRNA from 1 species
UACGGAGGGUGCAAGCGUUAUCCGGAUUCACUGGGUUUAAAGGGUGCGUAGGAGGGCAGGUAAGUCAGUGGUGAAAUCUCCGGGCUCAACUCGGAACUGCCGUUGAUACUAUCUGUCUUGAAUAUCGUGGAGGUGAGUGGAAUAUGUCAUGUAGCGGUGAAAUGCUUAGAUAUGACAUAGAACACCAAUUGCGAAGGCAGCUCACUACACGUAUAUUGACUCUGAGGCACGAAAGCGUGGGGAUCAAACAGG